rnacentral:lncRNA from 1 species
CACAAACUUGCCUUUAGCAUCAUCCUUUCCUCCAAUUCGACUUGUCUUCUCAACACAUAGUUCUUCGUUUUCAACCGUUGGACCAUCGAAGCGAACUCUGGAACGAGAGAUAUCUUGUGUGCACUGUAGCUGCGAAUUUAGGCUAGGAUUGUGCUUGGAAUGAAAGCGACUAAGGUAAGGGUUUUUCCCCAUACAUUCAUGCUACAUAGGGAUUUGUUGUGGAAUGAUAGUAAAGCCUUUAUCGCUUAAAAUGAACCCAAAGGAAUAGACUUAUAAAAAUAAACGAUAAUAAUCAAUAGAUAAUGCUUGUUAUGUGCAAUAAAUAUGUCGUGUUAUUAUGCUUGGAUUCAAUUAUGAUCAAAAUACUCUUUGUGUUGUUCUACAUAUAUGUUUUGGACUUAAGUU